rnacentral:rRNA from 1 species
AAUAAUAAAAACUUUCAACAACGGAUCUCUUGGCUCCUGCAUCGAUGAAGAACGCAGCGAAAUGCGAUAAGUAAUGUGAAUUGCAGAAUUCAGUGAAUCAUCGAGUCUUUGAACGCACAUUGCGCCCUAUGGUUAUUCCGUAGGGCAUGCCCGUCUCANCGUCAGAAGAAAACCCUCAGGCAAGGCUUUAAUGCCAUGCCUGGAUUGUGUCAGAGUGGCAGCAGACCCAAGGUCAUUCUGCCCUUUGUAAAACUAUGGAUGUAUUGAAGAUUUUGUUUCAUUCCAACGUGAUAGAAUAUUGGAUUCGUUGGUAUUUCAAUUAUCUACACAUAUUUCCAAAAAAAAGAACCCACAAAAUUGUUGACAUAUUUGACCUGAGAUCGGGUAGGGAUACCCGCUGAACUUAAGCAUAUCAAUAAGCGGA